rnacentral:rRNA from 1 species
UACGAAGGGGGCUAGCGUUGUUCGGAAUCACUGGGCGUAAAGGGUGCGUAGGCGGGCAUUUAAGUCAGGGGUGAAAUCCCGAGGCUCAACCUCGGAACUGCCCUUGAUACUGGGUGUCUUGAGUCCGGAAGAGGUGAGUGGAACUGCGAGUGUAGAGGUGAAAUUCGUAGAUAUUCGCAAGAACACCAGUGGCGAAGGCGGCUCACUGGACGACUGAUGACGCUGAGGUGCGAAAGCGUGGGGAGCAAACAGG